AACGAACGCUGGCGGCAUGCCUAACACAUGCAAGUCGAACGAUGCUUUCGGGCAUAGUGGCGCACGGGUGCGUAACGCGUGGGAAUCUGCCCUUGGGUUCGGAAUAACAGUGAGAAAUUGCUGCUAAUACCGGAUGAUGUCUUCGGACCAAAGAUUUAUCGCCCAGGGAUGAGCCCGCGUAGGAUUAGCUAGUUGGUGGGGUAAUGGCCUACUAAGGCGACGAUCCUUAGCUGGUCUGAGAGGAUGAUCAGCCACACUGGGACUGAGACACGGCCCAGACUCCUACGGGAGGCAGCAGUGGGGAAUAUUGGACAAUGGGCGCAAGCCUGAUCCAGCAAUGCCGCGUGAGUGAUGAAGGCCUUAGGGUUGUAAAGCUCUUUUACCCGGGAUGAUAAUGACAGUACCGGGAGAAUAAGCUCCGGCUAACUCCGUG
rnacentral:rRNA from 1 species